rnacentral:rRNA from 1 species
AGAGUUUGAUCCUGGCUCAGGAUGAACGCUAGCUACAGGCUUAACACAUGCAAGUCGAGGGGCAGCAUGAACUUAGCUUGCUAAGUUUGGUGGCGACCGGCGCACGGGUGAGUAACGCGUAUCCAACCUGGCCCACAGUAGGGGAUAGCCCGGCGAAAGUCGGAUUAAUACCCUAUGUUAUCCGUUGAGGACAUCUGAGAUGGAUCAAAGAUUUAUCGCUAUGGGAUGGGGAUGCGUCUGAUUAGCUUGCCGGCGGGGUAACGGCCCACCGGGGCUUCGAUCAGUAGGGGUUCUGAGAGGAAGGUCCCCCACAUUGGAACUGAGACACGGUCCAAACUCCUACGGGAGGCAGCAGUGAGGAAUAUUGGUCAAUGGGCGCGAGCCUGAACCAGCCAAGUAGCGUGCAGGAUGACGGCCCUAUGGGUUGUAAACUGCUUUUGCCGGGGAAUAAAGUGCAGUACGUGUACUGUUUUGUAUGUACCCGGAGAAUAAGGACCGGCUAAUUCCGUGCCAGCAGCCGCGGUAAUACGGAAGGUCCGGGCGUUAUCCGGAUUUAUUGGGUUUAAAGGGAGCGCAGGCCGUAGAUUAAGCGUGACGUGAAAUGCCGCGGCUCAACCGUGGAAGUGCGUCGCGAACUGGUUUACUUGAGUGGGUUCGACGCCGGCGGAAUUCGUGGUGUAGCGGUGAAAUGCUUAGAUAUCACGAAGAACCCCGAUUGCGAAGGCAGCCGGCGAGGCCUUUACUGACGCUAAAGCUCGAAGGUGCGGGUAUCGAACAGGAUUAGAUACCCUGGUAGUCCGCACGGUAAACGAUGGAUGCCCGCUGUCGGCGAUAUAAUGUCGGUGGCCAAGCGAAAGCGUUAAGCAUCCCACCUGGGGAGUACGCCGGCAACGGUGAAACUCAAAGGAAUUGACGGGGGCCCGCACAAGCGGAGGAACAUGUGGUUUAAUUCGAUGAUACGCGAGGAACCUUACCCGGGCUUGAACUGCACAGGAAGGAUACAGAGAUGUUGACGCCCUUCGGGGCCUGUGUGGAGGUGCUGCAUGGUUGUCGUCAGCUCGUGCCGUGAGGUGUCGGCUUAAGUGCCAUAACGAGCGCAACCCCUGCCGUCAGUUGCCAUCAGGUGAUGCUGGGCACUCUGGCGGGACUGCCACCGCAAGGUGUGAGGAAGGGGGGGAUGACGUCAAAUCAGCACGGCCCUUACGUCCGGGGCGACACACGUGUUACAAUGGGAGUCACAGAGGGGCACUACCUGGCGACAGGAUGGGAAUCUCGAAAAGCUCUCUCAGUCCGGAUCGGAGUCUGCAACCCGACUCCGUGAAGCUGGAUUCGCUAGUAAUCGCGCAUCAGCCAUGGCGCGGUGAAUACGUUCCCGGGCCUUGUACACACCGCCCGUCAAGCCAUGAAAGUCUGGGGCGCCUGAAGUCCGUGACCGAGAGGAGCGGCCUAGGGCGAAACAGGUAAUUGGGGCUAAGUCGUAACAAGGUA